ensembl:lncRNA
CACGCAUCCAAGUUAUUCACACAAUUUUUUAUCUUUUCUGUGCAGGUGCACUAACAUCAGUCUACUUUCCCUUUCCAACUCUAUUAUACUGAAAACAUCCAGUUCCCUUCCUAUUGGGAAGCAAGGACAUUUGCCUUGUGUUAAGGUGCUCAUUAGAAUAGAAUACUCUAGAAAUAAAUUGAUACCAUCAGAGUUGGGAGAUUUGUGCAGGAAACCUUAUUAUAAUGGCAGCUAAACUAAUAAAAAAUGCAUGUGUAGACAGGUAUAGAGACCUUCAGGUAACCAAUAGACUAACCCAAAAUUACAUUUGGGACUCCAGGGCAAACUAGGCUGUAGAAAAAAUCCUUCUUUUUCUUUCUUAUCUAUUAACAAUGCACAUCAAAACAAAAAUAUAAUUUCAGUUGUUUCAUUUGUACAACAUGGCAAUAUUGAAAUAGUCACUUUGAUUAAACUGUAAUCUAAGUAUGAAGAACAAUUUGAAACUUUGAAUCAAUCUAAAAUUUAUUACUUUAUUCAAAGUAAAAUCUCACAUUGCAAAUGCAGAAACAAAACAUUAAAGACAGAGGCAUUUUAAACCAUCGAGUCCUUACAUGUGCAGCACAUGAUUUGGUACAAGCAAAUUCUUACCACAAAUUCCUGAUCAAAAUCUGCAUAAAGGAAGACCUGUUGUUUGUUUUCCUUAUAUUCUUUCUGAUGAGAACACUGCUGCAGUUCUGUACUCAGUAACAAGUCAUAGGAUAUGGAUUUUCUAUUCCCUAUUCACUAAUUGGAAUUAGUGGCAUAAAAUGUUCCUUGAUCCACAGCAGUAUUGUCUGGAUUAUUGGGAAGACUGGCCAUAUCACAUCUACUAAGUCAGUGGGAGUUUUGAAACCAAUAACGCUGUUGAAUGCCAGCUGCUUACUGUCACUGAUUUGUUGUGUGGCCUAAACUAGAUUAUUAAACAUGAAACAUUUUAAGCCAAGCACGUACAAAUGUUUUUACCUGCUUAGAAUAUACAGUUGUAAGCAAACACCUAUGGGCCAUCAAAUCAAGUAUUUAUGCAGAGAUGCGACAUCAUCUGCUGAAAGGCUAAGUUCAAAUUUUAUAUUUAAUCUUUUAAAGCCUGUCUGAGCAAGUAUUUUUGUUAAUAGUCAUUAAUAUCGGUAGGAGACUUCCUGAAUAUCUCCAGCUACACAGGAUUAAAUUGGCCACCACUACCAGAGCAGAGAGAAGCACUUAAUGUAGUCAGUGUUUUUGAGAAAAGCAUUGCCACUUCUGAGUAUGGCUUUCCUUUGUUUUGUUCUGAUAUACUUCGUAUCUUUACCCACUGCUGUCUCUUGCUUUUCUUUACUCUUUUCAUCUUUUUAGUUUAAUUAAGUGGAUUGAUGUGAACAAAAAAAACCUCAGUUACUUUUAAAUUCCCUGUUACCACAAUAUCUAACAUUCCACGUUUGUAGAAAUUGCUUCUUGCAUCUUUAAUUUGUAGGCUGUAUGGAAGAGGAGUGUGAGCAGGAUCUAUCCCACAGGAUUAUUAGUCAGAGAAAAAAUGUAAUGCAAUAAUAGUGGAAGAAAAAGAACAGUACAGCAGUGAAAGAACAGCUGCAGAGAACAGACUAUUAGAGAAUGGAGUUAUCUGUCAUGUAGCAAGGAAACCUUUUCUGAUCCCUUCUGAAUCGACAGAAAUUAUGGUUGCCACUUUCCUCAGACCUGUGUCCCUGCUCUUACUGCCUUACGAGCUGAUCAUUCCAUGAAUCAGCCCAAGGGAAUAAAAGACUGGUUUCUGGAAGGAAGAGUUACAGAAGACAACUGAUGAUGAAUCACCAAAGCAAGGAG